UACAGAGGGUGCAAGCGUUAAUCGGAAUUACUGGGCGUAAAGCGUGCGCAGACGGUCUCGUAAGUGGGGUGUGAAAUCCCCGGGCUCAACCUGGGAAUUGCAUUCGAAACUGCGAGGCUAGGGUUCGGAAGAGGGAAGCGGAAUUUCUGGUGUAGCGGUGAAAUGCGCAGAUAUCAGGAAGAACACCCGUGGCGAAGGCGGUUCUCUGGGACGGUACUGACGCUGAGACGCGAAAGCGUGGGGAGCGAACAGG
rnacentral:rRNA from 1 species